AUACGGAGGAUCCGAGCGUUAUCCGGAUUUAUUGGGUUUAAAGGGUGCGCAGGCGGGAGAUUAAGUCGGCGGUGAAAUUUUGCAGCUCAACUGUAAAAGUGCCUUCGAAACUGGUUUCCUUGAGUGUAGAUAAAGUAGGUGGAAUUUGUGGUGUAGCGGUGAAAUGCAUAGAUAUCACGAGGAACUCCGAUUGCGCAGGCAGCUUACUAAACUACUACUGACGCUCAGGCACGAAGGUGUGGGGAUCAAACAGGAUUAGAUACCCUGGUAGUCCACGCAGUAAACGAUGAUGGCUAACCGCUGGAUCCAUCGGUUCAGUGGCCAAGCGAAAGCGAUAAGCCAUCCACCUGGGGAGUACGACCGCAAGGUUGAAACUCAAAGGAAUUGACGGGG
rnacentral:rRNA from 1 species